rnacentral:rRNA from 1 species
GACGAACGCUGGCGGCGUGCCUAACACAUGCAAGUCGAACGCAGUGGGGACGGGUGAGUAACACGUGGGUAACCUCCCAUCAGAGGGGAUAACACUUGGAAACAGGUGCUAAACCGAGACUGAUGGAUGAACCCGCGGUGCAUUAGCUGGUUGGUGAGGUAACGGCUCACCAAGGCCACGAUGCCUAGCCGGCCUGUGAGGGUGAUCGGCCACACUGGUACUGAGACACGGCCCAGACUCCUACGGGAGGCAGCAGUGGGGAAUCUUCGACAAUGGACGCAAGUCUGACCCAGCAACGCCGCGUGCAUGAAGAAGGUUUUCGGUUCGUAAAGCUCUGUUGUUAGAGAAGCGUUAUCUAACCAGAAAGCCACGGCUAACUACGUGCCAGCCGCCGCGGUAAUAC